GUCAAUCACCCCGCCCUAAAGGGCGAGGCUUGUGGUGGCUAAAGCCGCAAGUCUGGGUUGACCAGCCUAAGCCCGCCUGACAGGGACGUUAAAAGGGGCUACGUUGCGUAGAGGUUCAAGACUCACCUUGGGGCGCUUCCUCAACUCCAAGCUCUGAAAGUCCCGGUUGCAGACACGCAUAGGGUAAGCACGAAACGGAUUGGGACGUAAUGCCGCUACGCAACAUGGGCGAGGGGAGCGAGCC
rfam:Candidatus Contendobacter odensis Run_B_J11, WGS project CBTK01000000 data, contig: COMPJ11_2695_Contig_13